UGAAGUGGUAAGGGUAAAAUUGGAAGGAAUCAAAAGUUAAUGGCAUAACGGUAGAUAUGUUGAAGUGUUAGGAGCAAAAUGGAAAUUUAAUAAUAUUAAACAAAGGGUGAAUAGUGUUUUGAUGUGAUUUAAUUAGGGGGUUUGGUGUGGCUUUUGGAUGGAAACCGAGAGAGAGUCACAGAGGGAGUCUCAGACGGACAGAGAGGAAGAAAAAGAAGGAGAGGAAAGGAAAGGAAGAAAGGAAAGGAAGAAAGAAAGAGGAAGGAGAUCCCGGUUGCGCUGCCAGCUGAAGGAAAAAGUGUAGAUCUCCUUCCCCUCUAUGCAAGGAACUCGAUUUUCAAAAAGAAAAAGGUAAAUAUCCGUCCCUAUCUAGUCUUUUGAUGACAUUAGGCUAUACAAAGGGUGGAUAUAGUCUAGAGGGGUCGGAUAAGGGUUGUAGAGGCGGUUAAAAGAGGAAUAAUCGGAUUUUGACAAAUUUUUCCGGCACUACGGAAAAACUGUGUCGAAGUCCCAACUUCGGCAAAUUAUUUAGGGGGUCAAACGACCUCCGAUUGCAAUGCA
rnacentral:lncRNA from 1 species